UACGUAGGAGGCAAGCGUUGUCCGGAAUUACUGGGCGUAAAGCGCGUGUAGGUGGUGGGACAAGUCUGCUGUGAAAUCUCCCGGCUUAACCGGGAGGGUGCGCCGGAAACUGGGGUGCUGGAGUUUGGGAGAGGGAUGCGGAAUUCCAGGUGUAGCGGUGAAAUGCGUAGAUAUCUGGAGGAACACCGGUGGCGAAGGCGGCAUCCUGGACCAACACUGACGCUGAGGAGCGAAAGCCAGGGGAGCAAACGGG
rnacentral:rRNA from 1 species